rnacentral:rRNA from 1 species
UACGUAGGGUGCGAGCGUUGUCCGGAAUUAUUGGGCGUAAAGGGCUCGUAGGCGGUUUGUCGCGUCGGGAGUGAAAACCUCGGGCUUAACUCGGGGCUUGCUUUCGAUACGGGCAGACUGGAGGUAUGCAGGGGAGAACGGAAUUCCUGGUGUAGCGGUGAAAUGCGCAGAUAUCAGGAGGAACACCGGUGGCGAAGGCGGGUCUCUGGGCAGUAACUGACGCUGAGGAGCGAAAGCGUGGGGAGCGAACAGG